AWRUCCCCAGCUAUAAACUGGCAAGGUCAAAUUUGACACAUUAAAUUUAUUCUACAAACAUAUUUAAAGCGCCUCAGCUCAACUUGAAGCUGCUGCUGAGCUGUGACCACUCACACCUGAUCAUCAUCACCCUGAUCCCCAGCUGCUGCCAUAUAAGGACGGAGCUUCCCCCCCUGCACAGCGUCAAAUUGUUGUGAAACCCUCAGCGUUGCCUCUCCUGACCCUCUCCACUGGAUUUGGGCCUCCUGGCUUUGACCCCCUGUSUGUCUGACCCUGAGAUCUGGAUCCUAUUUUGACCUGGAUUUGGACCYGCUGGCUCUGACCCCCUGUCUGUCUGACCCUGAGAUCAGGAACCGCCUGACCCCGAUUUGGAUUCCCURGUUCUGGYCUGUCUGACUAAGAAUAUGUUUAUUUCCUAAUAAACACCAGUUUUUGUAUUCAC